GGGAACUGAUAAUGGGCUUGGGCUUGGGCCCAUAGGAGUAGUUGGUUGGGCCAUUGGGCUUGAAGAUGGAGUCAUUGGCAUCAUAGGUGGUGGAGUCAUGGGCAUUGGUGGUGGAGCCAUGGGCAUAGGUGGUGGAGUCAUAGGCAUAGGUGGUGGAGCCAUAGGCAUAGGUGGUGGAGUCAUCAUUGGCAUCGGAGAGCUGCGGCCGCUAGACAUCGGCGGCAUCGACAUUGAGCCAGAAGGAGCCAUCAUGGGAGAUUGAGCUAAAGAGAAAUGAAUUAAAACCAUAGGCAAUGUGACCAAAAGGAGGGCUUGUGAAGAGGCCAUGGUUAUGUGUGUUGAAUAGUGGGU
rnacentral:lncRNA from 1 species